GAUGAACGCUAGCGGCAGGCUUAAUACAUGCAAGUCGAACGGUAACAGGUCUUCGGACGCUGACGAGUGGCGCACGGGUGAGGAACACGUACACAAUCUACCUUAUACUGGAGAAUAGCCCCGGGAAACUGGGAUUAAUACUCCAUAGUCUUUAAUGAUCACAUGAGAAAUAAAGUAAAGCUUCGGCGGUAUAAGAUGAGUGUACGUCCCAUUAGAUUGUUGGUGAGGUAACGGCUCACCAAGUACGACGAUGGGUAGCUGGCGUGAGAGCGCGACCAGCCACACUGGCACUGAGACACGGGCCAGACUCCUACGGGAGGCAGCAGUAGGGAAUAUUGG
rnacentral:rRNA from 1 species